GAUGAACGCUAGCGGCAGGCCUAACACAUGCAAGUCGAGGGGUAGAGUUGGCUUGCUAACUUGAGACCGGCGCACGGGUGCGUAACGCGUAUGCAAUCUACCUUGUACAGAGGGAUAGACCAGAGAAAUUUGGAUUAAUACCUCAUAGUAUCUUCGGAAGGCAUCUUAUGAUUAUUAAAGUUCCAACGGUACAAGAUGAGGAUGCGUCCCAUUAGCUAGAUGGUAAGGUAACGGCUUACCAUGGCAACGAUGGGUAGGGGUCCUGAGAGGGAGAUCCCCCACACUGGUACUGAGACACGGACCAGACUCCUACGGGAGGCAGCAGUGAAGAAUAUUGGUCAAUGGGCGCAAGCCUGAACCAGCCAUGCCGCGUGCAGGAAGACGGUCCUAUGGAUUGUAAACUGCUUUUAUACGGGAAGAAACACUGCUACGUGUAGCAGCUUGACGGUACCGUAAGAAUAAGCAUCGGCUAACUCCGUGCCAGCCGCCGCAGUAA
rnacentral:rRNA from 1 species